rnacentral:rRNA from 1 species
AUUGAACGCUGGCGGCAGGCCUAACACAUGCAAGUCGAACGAGGGGCGGACGGGUGUGAAAUGUCUGGGAAACUGCCUGAUGGAGGGGGAUAUAUACUAGAAGCGGUAGAUAAUCCCGUAUCCUCUCGGAUGUGCACAGAUGGGAUUAGCUUGUAGGGGGGGUAAAGGCUCACCUAGGCGACGAUCCCUAGCUGGUCUGAGAGGAUGACCAGCCACACUGGAACUGAGACACGGUCCAGACUCCUACGGGAGGCAGCAGUGGGGAAUAUUGCACAAUGGGCGCAAGCCUGAUGCAGCCAUGCCGCGUGUAUGAAGAAGGCCUUCGGGUUGUAAAGUACUUUCAGCGGGGAGGCGUUACCCGCAGAAGAAGCACCGGCUAACUCCGUGCCAGCAGCCGCGGUAAUAC